CCGGCUUCCCAGGGAAGCCUUGGAGGCCUGGCUCACCCUUGGGACCUGGUGGACCCUGUGGUCCUACAACCCCACCUUCUCCUUUGGGUCCAGGGAAACCAAUAGCACCCGGAGGACCCAUGGGACCUGGGAUUCCAGAAUUUGGGAAGGUCGAAGUUGUAUACUGAAAGGAAAAACAACAACAACAACAACAACAACAACACGUCACCAUUGAGCCCACAAAGCAGAGAUAUGUACUCGACAUGAUUUUCAUCUUAUUUGUUUAAGGUGCUGAAAUACGGGUGAUGAAAAUCAUUUUUCCCAUGGACCCAGGAAAAAGGAAAGCUCUUUGUUUUGCAAGCAACUCUAUAUGAUCCAUGCUAUUGGGAGCAGUGGGGAAUGAAGACAUGAAACAUGUGGUCCAAAGUCUUCUUUCAACUAUACAAGUAAUCAUCUGAGGAGAUACAAGAUGCACCAGACGCCAGGCAGGCCAUGCAAGAAAGGAGGGGGAAAAAGACCUGGAGUGGGUCUCUCUCAACGUUCCCAAUGCUGUGACCCUUUCAUACAAAAUGCUACUUCAUUACUGUAAUUUUGCU